CAAGUUGUCAACAAGUUUGUAACAUGUUAUCAGACGUGUUGCAAGGUUGUUCCAACAAGUCCGAUACAGCCGUGAUAUAACAAUAUUGUUACAACCUUGUAUCGUCAACCUUGUAACAUUCUUGUUGUAUAUCUGUAUCAAACUUGUUAGAACAACCUUAUGACAAGUCUGAUAAUGUUAUCAAGCUUGUUACAAGUUGUUAACAGCUUG